rnacentral:rRNA from 1 species
CAGUAGCCACGGGAAUACGAAGGGUGCAAGCGUUAAUCGGAAUUACUGGGCGUAAAGCGUGCGUAGGCGGUUUGUUAAGUCUGCUGUGAAAUCCCCGGGCUCAACCUGGGAAUGGCAGUGGAUACUGGCAAGCUAGAGUGUGUCAGAGGAUGGUGGAAUUCCCGGUGUAGCGGUGAAAUGCGUAGAGAUCGGGAGGAACAUCGGUGGCGAAGGCGGCCAUCUGGGACAACACUGACGCUGAGGCACGAAAGCGUGGGGAGCAAACAGGAUUAGAUACCCCCGUAGUCCCUGUCUCUUAUAC